rnacentral:rRNA from 1 species
UCCGAGGGGUGCAAACGUUAUUCGGAUUUACUGGGCGUAAAGGGUGUGUAGGCGGCAUAUUGUGUCUGUUGUUAAAGACUCCAGCUUACCUGGAGAAGUGCAGCGGAAACUAAUGUGCUAGAGGAUGGAAGAGAGGAGUGGAAUUCCCGGAGUAGCGGUAAAAUGCGUAGAUCUCGGGAGGAACACCAAUGGCGAAGGCAGCUCCUUGGUCCAUUCCUGACGCUGAGACACGAAAGCGUGGGGAGCAAACAGG